rnacentral:rRNA from 1 species
UACGUAGGUGGCAAGCGUUGUCCGGAUUUAUUGGGUUUAAAGGGUGCGUAGGUGGUCUAUUAAGUCGGUGCUGAAAUAUCCCGGCUUAACCGGGAGGGUGGCAUUGAUACUGAUGGACUUGAGUAAAGUUGAGGUAGGCGGAAUUGACGGUGUAGCGGUGAAAUGCUUAGAUAUCGUCAAGAACACCUAUAGCGAAGGCAGCUUACUAAGCUUUAACUGACGCUGAGGCACGAAAGUGUGGGGAUCAAACAGG